UCAAAUGAAUUGACGGGGGCCCGCACAAGCGGUGGAGCAUGUGGUUUAAUUCGAUGCAACGCGAAGAACCUUACCUACUCUUGACAUCCAGAGAACUUAGCAGAGAUGCUUUGGUGCCUUCGGGAACCGUGAGACAGGUGCUGCAUGGCUGUCGUCAGCUCGUGUUGUGAAAUGUUGGGUUAAGUCCCGCAACGAGCGCAACCCUUAUCCUUUGUUGCCAGCGGUUAGGCCGGGAACUCAAAGGAGACUGCCAGUGAUAAACUGGAGGAAGGUGGGGAUGACGUCAAGUCAUCAUGGCCCUUACGAGUAGGGCUACACACGUGCUACAAUGGCAUAUACAAAGAGAAGCGACCUCGCGAGAGCAAGCGGACCUCAUAAAGUAUGUCGUAGUCCGGAUUGGAGUCUGCAACUCGACUCCAUGAAGUCGGAAUCGCUAGUAAUCGUGGAUCAGAAUGCCACGGUGAAUACGUUCCCGGGCCUUGUACACACCGCCCGUCACACCAUGGGAGUGGGUUGCAAAAGAAGUAGGUAGCUUAACCUUCGGGAGGGCGCUUACCACUUUGUGAUUCAUGACUGGGGUGAAGUCGUAACAAGGUAACCGUAGGGGAACCUGCGGUUGGAUCACCUCCUUA
rnacentral:rRNA from 1 species